rnacentral:lncRNA from 1 species
ACCAGAACACUUGGUGAGCUCCGGCAAAGCUGGUGCACUGCAGUGAGACAAAACACCAGGCUACAGUGGCUACCGCUAACGUGACUCAAAACGACGUUGCUGGCUCAGACUGCUGUAAACCCCCGAAGUUCACGGUAAAGCAAGGAAAGGACAACAAUUAUUCAGGAAUAAUCUUCAUGUGAUGUAUCAUUCCUCCAAAGGGCUUGGGGCAGCAAUGGAAGGAGGUGGGAAAGGC